AGAGUUUGAUCAUGGCUCAGAUUGAACGCUGGCGGCAGGCCUAACACAUGCAAGUCGAACGGUAACAGGAAGCAGCUUGCUGCUUCGCUGACGAGUGGCGGACGGGUGAGUAAUGUCUGGGAAACUGCCUGAUGGAGGGGGAUAACUACUGGAAACGGUAGCUAAUACCGCAUAACGUCGCAAGACCAAAGAGGGGGACCCUCGGGCCUCUUGCCAUCGGAUGUGCCCAGAUGGGAUUAGCUUGUUGGUGGGGUAACGGCUCACCAAGGCGACGAUCCCUAGCUGGUCUGAGAGGAUGACCAGCCACACUGGAACUGAGACACGGUCCAGACUCCUACGGGAGGCAGCAGUGGGGAAUAUUGCACAAUGGGCGCAAGCCUGAUGCAGCCAUGCCGCGUGUAUGAAGAAGGCCUUCGGGUUGUAAAGUACUUUCAGCGGGGAGGAAGGGAGUAAAGUUAAUACCUUUGCUCAUUGACGUUACCCGCAGAAGAAGCACCGGCUAACUCCGUGCCAGCAGCCGCGGUAAUACGGAGGGUGCAAGCGUUAAUCGGAAUUACUGGGCGUAAAGCGCACGCAGGCGGUUUGUUAAGUCAGAUGUGAAAUCCCCGGGCUCAACCUGGGAACUGCAUCUGAUACUGGCAAGCUUGAGUCUCGUAGAGGGGGUAGAAUUCCAGGUGUAGCGGUGAAAUGCGUAGAGAUCUGGAGGAAUACCGGUGGCGAAGGCGGCCCCCUGGACGAAGACUGACGCUCAGGUGCGAAAGCGUGGGGAGCAAACAGGAUUAGAUACCCUGGUAGUCCACGCCGUAAACGAUGUCGACUUGGAGGUUGUGCCCUUGAGGCGUGGCUUCCGGAGCUAACGCGUUAAGUCGACCGCCUGGGGAGUACGGCCGCAAGGUUAAAACUCAAAUGAAUUGACGGGGGCCCGCACAAGCGGUGGAGCAUGUGGUUUAAUUCGAUGCAACGCGAAGAACCUUACCUGGUCUUGACAUCCACGGAAGUUUUCAGAGAUGAGAAUGUGCCUUCGGGAACCGUGAGACAGGUGCUGCAUGGCUGUCGUCAGCUCGUGUUGUGAAAUGUUGGGUUAAGUCCCGCAACGAGCGCAACCCUUAUCCUUUGUUGCCAGCGGUCCGGCCGGGAACUCAAAGGAGACUGCCAGUGAUAAACUGGAGGAAGGUGGGGAUGACGUCAAGUCAUCAUGGCCCUUACGACCAGGGCUACACACGUGCUACAAUGGCGCAUACAAAGAGAAGCGACCUCGCGAGAGCAAGCGGACCUCAUAAAGUGCGUCGUAGUCCGGAUUGGAGUCUGCAACUCGACUCCAUGAAGUCGGAAUCGCUAGUAAUCGUGGAUCAGAAUGCCACGGUGAAUACGUUCCCGGGCCUUGUACACACCGCCCGUCACACCAUGGGAGUGGGUUGCAAAAGAAGUAGGUAGCUUAACCUUCGGGAGGGCGCUUACCACUUUGUGAUUCAUGACUGGGGUGAAGUCGUAACAAGGUAACCGUAGGGGAACCUGCGGUUG
rnacentral:rRNA from 1 species